CACGUAGGGCGCGAGCGUUGUCCGGAAUUAUUGGGCGUAAAGAGCUCGUAGGCGGCCUGUUGCGUCCGCUGUGAAAGCCCGGGGCUUAACCCCGGGUCUGCAGUGGAUACGGGCAGGCUAGAGGUAGGUAGGGGAGAAUGGAAUUCCCGGUGUAGCGGUGAAAUGCGCAGAUAUCGGGAGGAACACCGGUGGCGAAGGCGAUUCUCUGGGCCUUACCUGACGCUGAGGAGCGAAAGCGUGGGGAGCGAACAGG
rnacentral:rRNA from 1 species